UACGAAGGGGGCUAGCGUUGCUCGGAAUUACUGGGCGUAAAGGGAGCGUAGGCGGAUAGUUUAGUCAGAGGUGAAAGCCCAGGGCUCAACCUUGGAAUUGCCUUUGAUACUGGCUAUCUUGAGUACGGAAGAGGUAUGUGGAACUCCGAGUGUAGAGGUGAAAUUCGUAGAUAUUCGGAAGAACACCAGUGGCGAAGGCGACAUACUGGUCCGUUACUGACGCUGAGGCUCGAAAGCGUGGGGAGCGAACGGG
rnacentral:rRNA from 1 species